rnacentral:lncRNA from 1 species
ACACUCAUUCAGCAACAGCAGCACCACCACCACCACCAGCAGCAGCGGACAGCCCUGAGGAGCAUGGGGCCUGCUGGGACUCGUCUCCUGCUAUGCUUCAGCUCCUGCCCAAUCACUUACCUGUGCCAGGAGAAGCCUCUGGACAUGCCUGGGCAGCCUCUGGACAUGCACUGCUCCCAUUCCUCGCUGAGAGGGCAUCUCCCCGAGUGCCUCUCCAUCCCAGUAGACUCUCCAGAUGUGCCCAGUCCUCAACUGGUGUGGCCUCACCAGAGAGACUCAGACCAAACAGGCCUCCACAGCCUCUCUCUAGACACUUUCUGGGAAACCACAGUGGAAUACAAAAGGGCACCAACUGUUCUGAUCUCUUGAAGAGCUCCUCAGGCAACCUUCUGUUUCUAGCAAGAUGAUACACCCAAGCCUUGAUGACAAGGCUUGGCUCUCAACCUCCUUGCUCCCCACCUCCUGUGAAAUACACAAAGAAAUUCAGUGAUCAUCGGGGAUGCUCUGGUCCAAACACUACCUGCCAGCCAGACGCAGGAGAUGGAUGGCUCAGCAGUAAUCGUGCUGCUUGAGCUUGGUGUCUAAUGGGGACAGUAGUGACAGGAAGUUCACAGGGACUGGAAGACAUGAGUUCUCUGAGGGAAAGGAAGGUGAAGCCUGGUGCUUAGGACCCUCAGGAGACCAUAGGAUGUGAGAAGGCUCAAGACACCCAGAGGUGGGGUCAGAAACAGGGCAAAGGAGACCAAGCAUGGGAGAGCUGCAGUGGACGUGUACAGACAGGAGAAGCAGGCCCUAAAGAAUCCCUGAGGCGGCAGAGAGGCUGGGCUGUGGAACUUUUUAAUUACUUUGCAUUAGGGGACUGUAGAGACCCAGAAGCCCACCCUUCCCCUCCCCUCAUCAGCUUAGCCCCAACAUAUGGUGGCUACCAAAGUAGUUAAAUCGGCUCUUGGUAGAAAAGGAAAGAGAUUCCUCCCAGGCUCUUCCCAGGGUCCACGGCCACACUCCAGGAGGGCUCAACUCCAGGGCAAGGCAGCUGGGACAGCAGGCAGCUGAAGGAGGACUAUUACUGCACCUUAGGGAAGAGUGCAGUGGCGAGUGGGGAGGACUCUGCUGGGACCCGGGGGUCAUGUGCAUUCCCAUUUAGUUGAGCUCUGCUUAAUCCGGGCCUAGGCUCACAGUAAUGGGGAACGAGGAGAGGCUCCCAUCAGAGACCAAGAAGAUGACAGACUCUCUGUAAAGGCUGUCAGAGGGGUCUGCAUGACCAACCACACCUGCUCCUGUUCCUUUGGGGCUCUUGUGACCUCCCUGUCUUCUUGUGAGAUCUUAUGUUCCUCCAACCCUGAGAGCUACAAACCAAUCUCCGGAAUAAAAAAAUCUGUCCCUCGUGCUGUCA